rnacentral:rRNA from 1 species
AUUGAACGCUGGCGGCAGGCUUAACACAUGCAAGUCGAGCGAGCGGCGGACGGGUGAGCAAUGUCUGGGAAACUGCCUGAUGGAUGGGGAUAACUACUGGAAACGGUAGCUAAUACCGCUCACCAUCAGCUGCGCCCAGAUGGCAUUAGCUAGUGGGUGGGGUAAUGGCUCACCAAGGCGACGAUCCCUAAUUGGUCUGAGAGGAUGACCAGCCACACUGGAACUGAGACACGGUCCAGACGCCUACGUGAGGCAGCAGGGGGGAAUAUUACGCAAUGGGCGAAAGCCUGAUGCAGCCAUGCCGCGUGUGUGAAGAAGGCCUUCGGGUUGUAAAGCGCUUUCAGCAAGGAGGCGUUACUCGCAGAGGAAGCACCGGCUAACUCCGUGCCAGCAGCCGCGGUAAUUC